rnacentral:rRNA from 1 species
AUUGAACGCUGGCGGCGUGCUUUACACAUGCAAGUCGAACGGCAGCACGGGAGCAAUCCUGGUGGCGAGUGGCAAACGGGUGAGUAAUACUUCGGAACGUACCUUUUAGUGGGGGAUAACUACUCGAAAGGGUGGCUAAUACCGCAUAUGUCUAUGGAUGAAAGCGGGGGCUCGUAAGACCUCGCGCUAAUUCAGCGGCCGAAGCAAGAUUAGUUAGUUGGUAGGGUAAAAGCCUACCAAGCCUGCGAUCUUUAGCUGGUCUGAGAGGACGAUCAGCCACACUGGGACUGAGACACGGCCCAGACUCCUACGGGAGGCAGCAGUGGGGAAUUUUGGACAAUGGGGUGAACCCUGAUCCAGCAACGCCGCGUGAGUGAAGAAGGCCUUCGGGUUGUAAAGCUCUUUUGUUAGGGAAGAAAUCUUCUAGGCUAAGACCCUGGGAGGAUGACGGUACCUAAAGAAUAAGCACCGGCUAACUACGUGCCAGCCGCCGCAGUAA